rnacentral:rRNA from 1 species
CAUGGAGGGUGAGAAUCCCGUUCGGCUGACCUUGAAACGCUCUACGAUACGCUUUCAAAGAGUCGAGUUGUUUGGGAAUGCAGCUCAAAAUGGGAGGUAAAUUUCUCCUAUGGCUAAAUAUUGGCGAGAGACCGAUAGCGAACAAGUACCGUGAGGGAAAGAUGAAAAGAACUUUGAAAAGAGAGUAAAAUAGUACGUGAAAUUGUUGAAAGGGAAACGAUUGAAGUCAGUCGUACCGACGGAAAAUCAGCUCUUUAGUGCGGACUUGUGGGCUUACGUGAGUUUUAACACCUCGCUGUUUGCAACGUUCGUGCUUUUUGGGUGUACUUUUUCGUAUGGUAGGCCAAUGUCAGUUUCGAUCGCUAUAAAAUGACCGGCGGAAUGUAGCUUCGAUCUUGUAUUGAAGUGUUAUAGCCUCUGGUAGAUGUGAUGAUCGGGAUUGAGGAUUGCAACGGAUACCCUUCGGGGCUACCUGUCUGAUCUCUGAUUGUUGCUCUGGUGCUGAAAGCUUGCUUAUGGUUAUCAAAGUCGAUGGUCAAUAGGUUAGAAUGGGUUAAAUUCGUUAAGGAUGUUGACGUAAUGG